rnacentral:rRNA from 1 species
GUACGGAAGGCAGCAGUGGGGAAUAUUGGACAAUGGGCGAAAGCCUGAUCCAGCAACGCCGCGUGAGGGAUGACGGCCUUCGGGUUGUAAACCUCUUUCAGCGGGGACGAAGCGAAAGUGACGGUACCCGCAGAAGAAGGACCGGCCAACUACGUGCCAGCAGCCGCGGUAAUACGUAGGGUCCGAGCGUUGUCCGGAAUUAUUGGGCGUAAAGGGCUCGUAGGCGGUUUGUCGCGUCGGGAGUGAAAACACGGGGCUUAACCCCGUGCCUGCUUCCGAUACGGGCAGACUAGAGGUAUGCAGGGGAGAACGGAAUUCCUGGUGUAGCGGUGAAAUGCGCAGAUAUCAGGAGGAACACCGGUGGCGAAGGCGGUUCUCUGGGCAUUACCUGACGCUGAGGAGCGAAAGUGUGGGGAGCGAACAGGAUUAGAUACCCGCGU